GGCAACCAAACUUGAAAUUUGCUCCAUUCAGCUGUCAGUCCUUGGUGGUGUCUCCCAUCUCCUUGGAACAGUGGAUGAGAUGGGUUUUGCACGUCUUUUUUGUUUUGUCAGGGAAAACCUCUUGCAUAUAAGAUCCAUAAAUGAAGUGGAAGAUAUCAGCAAACGAAA